rnacentral:misc_RNA from 1 species
GGGGCAUGGGGAGAGUGAAGAUAGGGAGGUGUGCCUGGCGCUAGUUGUCAGCUACACCCAGCCAGUUUUUGAGACCACAGCGACCACUCUUCCAGGUUUAAAAGCUUACUAUCAUCACCUUACCCAUUACCAAACACUCCCUUAACAUGCAGUCAGCCUCACAUGAGCGUCUCUGCUUCUGGGUCUAAUUGCUGCUGUCCUUUUUCACCUCCUAAUGCCUUUUUUCUCCAC